rnacentral:misc_RNA from 1 species
UUCUUAUCAAGAGGAACAAGCAUUGCUGUUUGUUGUAAGCGGUUGGGAGUCGCAGUAUCGGACUCCUCGUGUACACCCAAAUAUUCAGGGUCUUUCAGGCUGAGCCUUGCCAGAUCUUGGACAGACUUGGUCUGGGUUGCUGAAAACAAUAAGGUCUGCCUAUGCUUAGGCAAUUGUGAAAUGAUUGCAUUUAGAUCCCUCUUAAACCCCACAUCAAGAAUACGAUCUGCUUCAUCAAGAACUAAAACCUGAAGUUGUGAACAAUCAAAAUUUGGUGUCUCAUCCAUAUGCUGAAGAAGCCGACCAGGAGUACAGACCAGGAUGUUCAAUCCAUUAACAUGUUCUUUUUCAGCAUCAACAUCUUUGCGGCCACCAAUCAGAAGGCCAGCACUGAAGCCUUGAUGUUUCCCAACAGAUUUAAGUACUUCAAAAAGUUGACCUGCUAACUCCCUUGUGGGA